GGAGUCCAGCGUGUGCGCGAGUCAUUGGGCAUUAUUUUAAAACCUAAAGGCGAAAUGAAAGUGAAGGCGCGCUUAGAGCGCGCCUAGGGAGGAUGGGCGAGCCUCGAGCUCGCCUCGCACUCCCGGGGCGUCUCUUUCUCAUUGCGAGAAAAGGCGCACCUAGAGCGUACACGCUGGGACCCGAAAGAUGGUGAACUAUGCCUGGUCAGGACGAAGUCAGGGGAAACCCUGAUGGAGGUCCGUAGCGAUUCUGACGUGCAAAUCGAUCGUCGGAACUGGGUAUAGGGGCGAAAGACUAAUCGAACCAUCUAGUAGCUGGUUCCCUCCGAAGUUUCCCUCAGGAUAGCUGGCGCUCGGAGGUGUGAGUUUCAUCCGGUAAAGCGAAUGAUUAGAGGCAUUGGGGACGAAACGUCCUCAACCUAUUCUCAAACUUUAAAUGGGUGAGAUCUCCGGCUUAUUCUUAAACUUGAAGCCGCGAGAAUCUAAAUUUAUAAAGAAUCUAGAGUGCCAAGUGGGCCAAUUUUGGUAAGCAGAACUGGCGUUGUGGGAUGAACCAAACGCAGAGUUAAAGCGCCUAAAUAGACGCUUAUGAGAUACCAUGAAAGGCGUUGGUAACUUAAGACAGCAGGACGGUGGCCAUGGAA
rnacentral:rRNA from 1 species